UACGGGGGGGGCAAGCGUUGUUCGGAAUUACUGGGCGUAAAGGGCUCGUAGGCGGCCAACUAAGUCAGACGUGAAAUCCCUCGGCUUAACCGGGGAACUGCGUCUGAUACUGGAUGGCUUGAGUGUGGGAGAGGGAUGCGGAAUUCCAGGUGUAGCGGUGAAAUGCGUAGAUAUCGGAAGGAACGCCGGUGGCGAAAGCGAGUCGCUGGAUCUCUUCUGACGCUGAUGCGCGAAAGCCAGGGGAGCAAACGGG
rnacentral:rRNA from 1 species